rnacentral:rRNA from 1 species
GACGAACCGAGCGAACGUUAUUCGGAAUCACUGGGCUUAAAGGGUGCGUAGGCGGGCUCGCCAGUCAGGGGUGAAAUCCUACGGCCCAACCGUGGAAGUGCCUCUGAUACUGCGGGCCUCGAGGGGGAUAGGGGCGUGCGGAACUUCCGGUGGAGCGGUGAAAUGCGUAGAUAUCGGAAGGAACACCGGUGGCGAAAGCGGCGCGCUGGAUCCCUACUGACGCUGAGGCACGAAAGCCAGGGGAGCAAACGGG